rnacentral:rRNA from 1 species
UACAGAGGGUGCGAGCGUUAAUCGGAAUUACUGGGCGUAAAGCGUGCGUAGACGGUCGUGCAAGUCGGGUGUGAAAGCCCCAGGCUCAACCUGGGAAUUGCAUUCGAGACUGCUCGGCUAGGGUGCGGAAGAGGGAAGCGGAAUUUCCGGUGUAGCGGUGAAAUGGGUAGAUAUCGGAAGGAACACCAGUGGCGAAAGCGGCUUCCUGGUCCGACACCGACGUUCAGGCACGAAAGCGUGGGGAGCAAACAGG